GAAUAUCCAUGUAGUCCUGCAUGCCUCCACCUGAGGCUCAAGGAACCUGCAUCAUAUUGUAACGGAGUCUCUGCCCCAGGUUUGUGCGUGAAGUCCAAAUCAAAGCUUAAUAACUGUGGAGGCAAUUUAGGAAAGAAUACCAGAGACUGUGGAAAGACUGUACUGAUAAAAGGAGGGAGGAAACCAGAAGGCUGAACAAGUCUUUACUCUCAUUGUAGUUGAUACGACAUUACAGUGUAUUCCUCAUAAUCCUUGUAUGGAGAGGAUUUAUUUUCAAAGAAUUUAUUAAAGAAUAACAUAAAAAGAACAAAGUGAUUCUUUUACAUUUACACAGUUAAACACUACAUUCCAAUCUUGGGAGUUUCUCCUUAUUUGGGUAUGUAUGUUCUUAUCUCUAGUGUUGCUUGUAUCAAAGCAAGUUCUGCUUGUAAAUGUGAUAGAGUCGUGUUAUAAGAAUUCGCUAAAAAAAGAGAGCUUUUGCCGCAUUAUUGUUUCAUAUGGAAGAACUGUUUUUGUGCAAAAAAAGAGAAAAUUACAUAAACAUAGUUCAAAAGUACACUUCUCCUCAGCCUGUUCUAUACUGCUAGAGUUUCUGGAUUUCAUCCAUUUUCUUCUGCUUCAUUUCAACACACAAGACACUGACUUAUUCUUGCAAACCCUGUUGAAGCAUACCAGUAGUAUUGUUGACUUCAAUGGCACUAUUCAUCUGAGUCAAGUUAAGCACUUGCAAAAGUAUAUGCAGAAUCAGGGCCAUAACAUAGGCUUUUUUUUCUUUUCCCAGCAAGGAGAAGAAAGGGGAUUCACUUCAGUAAUAAGGAACAAAAAUAUUCGGAGUUUCAUUCCUAGGAAUAAGGCCAAGCCUUCAGCUUCCACUGUCCUGGGACUGCAGAACUACUUCAGUCUGGGGAUUUAAAGCCUGGGAAUAGAAGUCAUGUCUCCUGGACAGUAGCACUGACACUUUCCAAAUAGACUGAAGAUUGAAAAUAUUUUUUCCCAUCUACUAAUUUUAUCUUAAAGAAAAAAAAAAGGAAGAAGAAAUCUGUCAGCACAUAUAUCAUUUGCCAACGUACAAGAGGCAAGAUGAGAAUAACUUUCAUGCGAUAGACCACACUUGUGUUUUAGGACAUGUAGUGAGGCAAAACAGGUGAAAAAAUCUUAACUUCAUUAAAGUAACUGGGAAAUUUUCUUUUGACAUUGAUUGGGCCAGGAUUUCAUCCAAAAUAUACAAAUUACUGGUUUAUCUCUGUGAAGGAAAAAAAAAGAUCUUUGAAUCAUAUCCUCAGCUAUAUUCAGACCCAGACAGAAUCAAAUAAAAAAAA